rnacentral:tRNA from 1 species
GCACGGGUGGCGAAAUUGGCAUACGCAGUGGAUUUAGGUUCCGCCGUCGAAAGACAUGGAGGUUCAAGUCCUCUCCCGUGCA